AUUGAACGCUGGCGGCAGGCCUAACACAUGCAAGUCGAGCGAGCGGCGGAUGGGUGAUUACUGUCUGGGUACCUGCUUGUUGGGGGUGGAUAACUACUGGAGACGGUAGUUCCUCACGCAUACCAUUAGACGUCCCUCGGUGGGACUAGCUAGUAGGUGGGGUAACGGCCCACCAAGCCGACGAUCCCUAGCUGGUCUGAGAGGAUGACCAGCCACACUGGAACUGAGACACGGUCCAGACUCCUACGGGAGGCAGCAGUGGGGAAUAUUGCACAAUGGGCGAAAGCCUGAUGCAGCCAUGCCGCGUGUGUGAAGAAGGCCUUCGGAUUGUAAAGCACUUUCAGCUGGGAGGCGUUACCAGCAGAAGAAGCACCGGCUAACUCCGUGCCAGCAGCCGCGGUAAUUC
rnacentral:rRNA from 1 species